rnacentral:rRNA from 1 species
AACCUUCCGCAAUGGACGAAAGUCUGACGGAGCAACGCCGCGUGAGUGAUGAAGGCUUUCGGAUCGUAGAACACUGUUGUUUGGGAAGAACUAGUAUCGGAGUCACUGCCGGUACCUUGACGGUACCUGACGAGAAAGCCACCGCUAACUACGUGCCACCCGCCGCGGUAAUACGUAGGUUGCAAGCGGUGUCAGGCUUUAUUGGGCGUAAAGCGCGCACAGGCGGUCUUUUAAGUCUGAUGUGAAAUCUUACAGCUUAACUGUAAGCGGUCAUUGGAAACUGGGAGACUUGAGUGCAGAAGAGGAGAGUGGAAUUCCAUGUGUAGCGGUGAAAUGCGUAGAGAUAUGGAGGAACACCAGUGGCGAAGGCGACUCUCUGGUCUGUAACUGACACUGAGGCGCGAAAGCGUGGGGAUCAAACA